UCGGGAAUUUUGGGCAAUGGGGGAAACCCUGACCCAGCAACGCCGCGUGAAGGAUGAAGUAUUUCGGUAUGUAAACUUCGAAAGAAUAGGAAGAAUAAAUGACGGUACUAUUUUAUAAGGUCCGGCUAACUACGUGCCAGCAGCCGCGGUAAUACGUAGGGACCAAGCGUUGUUCGGAUUUACUGGGCGUAAAGGGCGCGUAGGCGGUUCGCCAAGUCAGGUGUGAAAUCCCCGGGCUUAACCUGGGAAUUGCGCUUGAAACUAGCGGGCUUGAGUGUGGCAGAGGGGGGUGGAAUUCCACGUGUAGCAGUGAAAUGCGUAGAGAUGUGGAGGAACACCGAUGGCGAAGGCAGCCCCCUGGGUCAACACUGACGCUCAUGCACGAAAGCGUGGGGAGCAAACAGGAUUAGAUACCCCCGUAGUCCCUGAGCGGGCUGGCAAGGCGCAU
rnacentral:rRNA from 1 species